GGGCAGAAUGAAGGUCUCUACAAAAGCUAUGGCAUGGAGAAAGAUAUCUUUUGGUCGAGGCAUUGGGCUUUAUUUAUAGGUAUAGGCAGCAUGAGGAUUUAAUUGAGUAAGUAAUGUGAGACUAAAAAUUAGAGAUGGGAACAAGGGUGGCUAGGGUUUCUUUUAAAGUGUAUAUAUGAGGGCCAUAAAUAAUAGAGGGU
rnacentral:lncRNA from 1 species